UUUCGCACUUUGAAUCCAGGAGACAUAGUCAGGAUAUUGUGCUCGAUCGUCUCUCUCAAUUGAAGAAAUAUUAAUUCAUCAAGCGUGUGUUUUGGCUGUUUUUUUUUCCGGCCAUCAGCCAGCGAUUUUUUUUUCCUGCAUUGUGAUGUUAAUUUGUUGCCAAAUAGUUGAGUGUCGUUGUAGCCGUUCCGUUGUUAGGCCUAUUGCGGAAGGAGAAUAUGCGCCACCUGCUGCUUACGAGAAGAAGUACGACGGUUAGCCUACUUCCAGUACGCCAAUGUCCCCAGCCAAUAAUACGAAUACGAAUUCGGAUACAAUCGGGAUUUCCACGCGUGGAAAUGCUCAACACAUACCGCGACUAAUAGUUCGAGCAGUCCAAGGAUAGCCGUUUACGCAUCAAGGUCAUAUGUCAUCUAUUAUUCAAUUCCAUUUCCCGCAGUAAUAAAUAUCCGUAGCCUAUUUGAGUAAAUCAGGUCAAGUGGAAUGACGCCUAUAUACUUUCGAUAUGGUGAGCACUAUAUACUGGGAAUACAACCAUCCAUGCUGAUGCUGGAUAUAAAGCUCCUUCAUUCGAUGCCCCAGCUUACUCCGCACCGGGUUAUUCUGAGUCCUACAUCUCAUCUUUCGAGCCAGCAGCUCCAUCAGCAGCUGCUGGUUAACAAUAGGGAUCGUCGCGUUGCUGCCCACAAUGACUUAUGCUGCUGCUGGUGCGCUGCCUCCUCCGAGAAAGCCUAUUCUAUACUAUUUAAAAU